GAUGAACGCUGGCGGCGUGCUUAACACAUGCAAGUCGAACGGAAAGGCCCAAGCUUGCUUGGGUCCUCGAGUGGCGAACGGGUGAGUAACACGUGGGUGAUCUGCCCUGCACUUCGGGAUAAGCCUGGGAAACUGGGUCUAAUACCGGAUAGGACCACAUUUUGGAUGGUGUGGUGGAAAGUUUUUCGGUGUGGGAUGAGCUCGCGGCCUAUCAGCUUGUUGGUGGGGUAAUGGCCUACCAAGGCGUCGACGGGUAGCCGGCCUGAGAGGGUGUACGGCCAAAUUGGGACUGAGAUGCGGCCCAGACUCCUACGGGAGGAAGCAGGGGGGAAUAUUGCACAAGGGGGGCAAGCCUGAUGCAGCGACGCCGCGUGGGGGAUGACGGCCUUCGGGUUGGAAACUCCUUUCGCUAGGGACGAAGCGUUAUGUGACGGUACCUGGAGAAGAAGCACCGGCUAACUACGUG
rnacentral:rRNA from 1 species